CAGCCGCCGCGGUAAAACCAGCACCUCAAGUGGUCAGGAUGAUUAUUGGGCCUAAAGCAUCCGUAGCUCGUUUUGUAAGUUUUCGGUUAAAUCCAUACGCUUAACGUAUGGGCUGCCGGGAAUACUGCAUAACUAGGAAGUGGGAGAGGUAGACGGUACUCGGUAGGAAGGGGUAAAAUCCUUUGAUCUAUUGAUGACCACCUGUGGCGAAGGCGGUCUACCAGAACACGUUCGACGGUGAGGGAUGAAAGCUGGGGGAGCAAACCGGAUUAGAUACCCGGGUAGUCCCAGCUGUAAACUAUGCAAACUCAGUGAUGCAUUGGCUUGUGGCCAACGCAGUGCUGCAGGGAAGCCGUUAAGUUUGCCGCCUGGGAAGUACGUACACAAGUAUGAAACUUAAAGGAAUUGGCGGGGGAGCAC
rnacentral:rRNA from 2 species